rnacentral:rRNA from 1 species
AUGCCGGAUUGUCACUUCCCCGAGGAUUCGAAUAAUGUAUCUGUCACCAAUUCCGAAGUGGAGAGCGUGAUGGUCCAUCGAUGGCGGAAAGAGGCCAUGCGCGAUCCAAAUUUCACCGAAGAGGCGUUCAACGCCCUCAGCUCUGCGGAUGCAUAUAUCCGGGCUUCUCGGGAUGGACUUGCCGGAGCUACACAUCAGCUUUCAAAGGAUAUGCGGGUACUCAUGGAGAAGAACAACAUGCUGUCUCAGGAGCUUGCAGAAUGUCAGACCAAGCUAGCUGUUGCCACCGCAGAACUGGAAGAUUUGAAGAAAUCUCGGAAGGCAUCGAAUGGUAAGUACAACCGUUGCCGGGAAGUACGAUUCUGCGGCAACAAUGAUCUUUAA